UGAUUAUGGUCUAGGCUGGCCUGGCCCAGUU
rnacentral:piRNA from 1 species